CCUACGGGUGGCAGCAGUGGGGAAUAUUGGGCAAUGGAGGCAACUCUGACCCAGCAACGCCGCGUGAAUGAUGAAGGUCUUCGGAUUGUAAAGUUCUGUGAUGGGGGAUGAACACAAUGACGGUACCCCAAUAGCAAGCCACGGCUAACUACGUGCCAGCAGCCGCGGUAAUACGUAGGUGGCAAGCGUUAUCCGGAAUUACUGGGUGUAAAGGGUGCGUAGGUGGUUAAGUAAGUUGGCGGUGAAAGUCCUGGGCCCAACCUCGGCGCUACCGCCGAAACUAUGUGACUGGAGUGCAGGAGAGGUAAGUGGAAUUCCUAGUGUAGCGGUGGAAGGCGUAGAUAUUAGGAGGAACAUCAGGGGCGAAGGCGACUUACUGGACUGUAACUGACGCUGAGGCACGAAAGCGUGGGGAGCAAACAGGAUUAGAUACCCUGGUAGUC
rnacentral:rRNA from 1 species